ensembl:misc_RNA 7SK 7SK RNA
AGAUUUGAGGGUACUCUGACUGCAACAUCUAUGACCCCAUUGAUCGCCAGGAUUGAUUUGGUUGAUCUGGCUGAGUAGGCAGGUGUCCCCGUCCUCCCUCGCUGCCCCAUAUGUGUCCCUCCUAAAGCUGCAUGCUCAGUUGAAGAGGACGAGAGGACGACCUUCUCUGAUAGAGGAGGACCACGCUUCAGUCAAAGGCAUACAAGUACCUGUCUGGACUUCCCUGCUAGCACUUCCAAACAAGCUCAGAGAUGUUCCUCCCCUCGUCU